GCUUUUGCUGCAGAAGCAGAAAUUGUUUCAGCAGCAAAAGCGUUAUAACAAAAGAUUAGCUUUUUUUGGAAAAUAAGUUUCAUCUAUCUUAUGGGUACCCUACAAGUGACUAGUUUCAAAGUUGGAUCCAAUAAAUCUCACAAUCACUUGACAAAGCAUGAUAAGAGGAUAAUACUUGAGAUGAGCAGGUCAUCACAUUAGAAAGCAAUUAUGGCAUCCCCAAUCCCCCUAGUGUCGCCUUGUUUUAGAUUCACUUUUAGAAAGUAUCAUCCCAGAAAGCUUGUUGACCUCAUACAAUAGUCCCACUGAGAACAAGAAACAUGUUG
rnacentral:misc_RNA from 1 species